rnacentral:lncRNA from 1 species
GUUAGACUGCCGCUGUCUGAAGGACCAUAUCUUACAGAAGGUGCACAUACUCCCAAGGGCCACUCUUGCCCUGGAGAUCUUGGCCUUGGGGUCAAAGAUAUUUCCAUUUCCGAUCUCCAUGGGGAGGAGGGACUUAAGCCCAAGUGGGUCAGGCCUGGCCCGGGUCCUCAUACUCCCCCAUCUUGUCCCAGCCCAGGCCUCCAUGAAGGAGAACCUGGUGGCAUUGCCCCAGAGCUCUCCAGAGAUGAGCCUCCCCUAUCCCCACCCUGUCCCCGUCCCCAGCCUACCAAAGAGUAUUCACACCUUUCCAUCCCUGACUCCAUGGGUUACUGUCCCAAUUGUGAAACACCCAGACUCCUCUUCACCCUGUAGCAGGGUCUUCUGCUCCAGUCACCCCGGCCCCUUGCAAGAGAAAGUCCAGGGACUGCCAAGAAGACCCUUUGACUAAAGAUAAUGUGCUGUCAUCUCUUGGCUGAGAAACUGUUGAGUCAGGCUAGAGGGCUGGACAACAGAAGAGGCAUUGAGAGCCCCCUUGGGGGCCAUUAGCCUUGCUCUGGUCUGCUGUGUGGGGGUGGGGAGUAGGGGGCAUCCCACAUUGCCUGGGACAUCUGAAUGCUGAUAAGAAUGGACAGGAAAGGGAGCCAGAGCUGUAUUCCUGGGACAGGCCAGGGAGCCUUUAGUGCCAGCAGGGCCUGUGUCCUGGGAUGCGAUGCUAAUGAGUGAAUGGAAGGGUGGGCCUGGAGCUUCGUGAGAGUGAAACCAAGAAGCGGAUGGGGAAGGGAGAGCUGACCUUGGUCAGCUUAGGGAUGAGUGGAGAAGGAAUCAUUCAUGGGCCUCAGCUGGGUCCCAGGCUGAUUACAUGAGACUGGGGAGUCCUUCCCUGCCAGUUUUCUCAUUUCUUACAGCCUAUCCCCCAGCCCUACCCCUGUGCCCUGCCCACACACUCCCCUGUUUGGCCCUCAGCACUUCGGGCCUGGUCACAUACCCCAUCCCUAGUGCUCUUUUCAGCUGGGGAGGGGAAGAGGUGCUGGCUCCUUUCCAGACAUGCUUAUGUAUAAGUAAAGGGGCAGGUGCUUGGGCUCCAGAGAGACCCUAGGUACUGCCUUCUAACUCCUGCAUCCUCAGCAGGGGAAAAGGAACUGGGAAGUAAAGGGGAACCAUAUGGCCCCAGGGAAUGGACCCUUGGAGACUCCCAUCCUCUCUUCCCCUUCACCAAGUGCCCAGGAGACCCCUGGCUCAGACCAGCCCAAGGCCUUGCCCAGUGGCAGGGGAAAGGGGCACCUCACUCCACCUCAAAGUCAUUUGACUGCCCCCAUCCACCCCACCACCCUAAUCUUCCACCACCUCUCCGGCUGCCCCUGCCCUCCAUCACAGGCAGCAGAGCCGGGCAGCUUUCUUAUGCCAUUUUCUACACUGUGCUUCAUGAGUAGGACUUUCUUGCACUAGUUCUUAUGACUGAGUCUCCAAACUGGUUUCCUAGUAGUCCCCCAUCCCUUCCUCCCUUACCCAGCUAUGAUUCAGUUGUCUCUGCCCUCCCUCUUACCCUGCCUCUGUGUUUCGGUGAGAGUCUCUGUAUGUGUACUGCUUUCUGUUUUGUUGCAUUGUGGAGCAGAGGCCUCUCUGCUCUUGUUUAACCCCGUAAAGAAAUAAAUGGUAAGACUUGAUGAU